UGCAAAAGGUCAGGUUUUCAAUCCCUUCGCGAGACAACAAUGAUGGUUUGGACGUUACCGGCGGAUGAUGCUCGGUGGAAACGCAGUCCAUGCUGUUUUCAGCUAACGCUUUUUUGGACGGUUUAUUUCCGGCAGUCCCACGGAUACCCGACUUGGCAUUUACUUGUGGAGCGUGAUGAGAGGAGGUUGUUGUUGGUGAGCAAACGUUGAACACAGGCAAGACACAGACUAUAGGAUCGAUACGAGAAAGCCGCGGAUACCACCCGGAUUACCAGCAAGAAACUAAGCGCACCGCAUUGCCUGUGAAUCGGAAGUGAUGAGAGGAAGUUAUAAUCUGUAAUCGACUGUCUUCUGUACUGGCUUCUGCCGAAAGUGAGCGAUAUCCGGUGACGAAAUAAAUGGUGCAAUUCCUUCCAAACACUACCAGUUUUACGACAAAAAGUAGUGAACGAGUCAGCCUUUCAAGCUGAAGACGUGAAUAAGAAAGAAAUUGGCAUGAAUCUGAAUUUUCGUCAGUAAGCAAUAAAUGCAAUGGCUGACUAAAUUAGCACAAUACAA